rnacentral:misc_RNA from 1 species
CGCACCUUGCGCUCCUUGGUAUUCCGAGGAGCAUGCCUGUUUGAGUGUCAUUAAAUUCUCAACCUCUCUAGUUUUAUUGACUAGUAGAUGGCUUGGAUUUGGGAGUAUUUUUUGCAGGCUUUCACAAGUCAGCUCUCCUUAAAUGUAUUAGCCGGUGUCUUCUAACCGUCUAUUGAUGUGAUAAUUAUCUACGUCGUGGACUAUUAGAUUUUGCGCUGCUUAUAACCGUCCUAUGGACAAUUUAUGACAUUUUGACCUCAAAUCAGGUAGGACUACCCGCUGAACUUAA